rnacentral:miRNA from 1 species
UGUGUUGUUUGUUUUGUAGCA